CAUGGAGAUAGCAAUCAAAUAUUACAUUUACUUUCUUAAAAAAGAUGGAUGUUUUUGCUUUUCUAUUUGAGAUACGAGUGUAAGUGUUUUAUAUAUUUGUUGCUUUCCAUAGACAUAAACACUGAGUUUGGUGGGUAGUGUACGCCUUGGAUGCCAGCUAUUCAAGAGGGUAAUGCAGGAGGAUUGGCCCUUUGAGAUCAGUCUUGAGAACUUAGGGAGACCAUGUCUCAAAAUUAAAAGUAGAUAGGGAUACGGAUGUUGCUAGUUAUAAAUCUGUAAUUAGUCCCUAGAUUCAAUCCCUAGUACUAGACAAAUCCCACUGACUGUGAAUACUUUUAUCCAUUAAGUAGUGGAUCUUUAUCUUUUAAAACUAAAUGAAUAAAAAUGGGAAACAUAGAAGUUUAAAAUCAUUGACUUCUAGUUAAAUUCAUCUUCAGCCUACAAAAGAAGGUCCUUGGGACACAUGUAUUCAGUUUCUUGAAACCCAUAUUUUCCAGAUAUGGGUUUGAAUUGCAGGCAGUCACUUCUGAGAAGGUAUCCUAGUGAAGGAGGAGGAAUAUGUAGUUAUUUUCCCAGUGUGUGGCCCAGGCCAGGGAGAGCAUUGAAUUUUCUUCCCAAAGUACCUUAUACUGGGAAUAUGCACACCUUUACUCCUGAACCAUUCAGGUGGACAGACCACUGGGCAGCAUGUGGAAAGUAUGCUACAGGACAUGUUUUAGCCAUUUUGCAUUUUUCUAACAUGUUUUAGCCAUUUUGCUUCCUUUUUUCUCACAAUAGUAAACUUUAACCCUUCGAAACACAUAUGACUAUCUAUUAUAGGAGCCUUUUGUUCUUACACUUUCACCUAAGACAUGCCAUGCAUACAUGUCCUGCAGGAUUGAAAAAGUUUUCUUUUUCACAAAUUAACAACACAAAGUAUUGGUAUUCUAUAUUUCUAUUGGGGAUGUUUUUGGGUCUUCAGAUGUUGCUGAAAAAGUGAACCAUACUUUAUUUCCUUUCCAUCUAGAUGCACCAUCAUCUAUAAAUACACAAGAGUCAAAUAAAUACAAAUUGAGUGACUGUAAGAAUUUGGUAAGUUCUAAAAGAACAGAAUGAUUAGAAGAGACUCAAUCUCUAGAAUGCUGAGGAAAGUCUACUGCAAUUCCCUAUUAUGUCAUUUUGUUUUGAUUUGGCCACUGAUACACAACAAUGACAAUGUGUCUUUUUAUGUUGAUUGACACACUUGGUACCAAUUUGUCCUGUAACAGUUGUUUUAACCUCAUUUACUUGAUGUAAAUGCUGUCUGCUGGAUUUUGCUAUAAGUUAAAUUUUUCUCUUUGUAUUUAGGUAUCUUGGUAAGAUUUUUCUAAAUAAUCUAAAUAAACCACUAUCUUUAAAAAGAAACCUUUCUUUCUUAAUAACUUUUUACUCCCUUCCCCUCCCAUCCUUCUGCCCUAUCUAGAGUUUGUCUAUUUCUCCCAUGCUCCCUCUCUCUAUCCCACUAUGAAUCAGCCUCCUUAUAUCAGAAAAAAAAAAAAAAAACAUUUGGCAUUUGGUUUUUUGGGAUUGACUAACUUCACUUAGCAUUAUCUUCUCUAACUCCAUCCAUUUCCCUGAAAAUGCCAUGAUUUUAUUCUCUUUUAUUGCUGAGUAAUAUUCCAUUGUGUAUAUAUGCCACAUUUUUUUAAUCCAUUCAUCUAUUGAAGGGCAUCAAGGUUCCACAGUUUAUCUAUUGUGAAUUGUGCUGCUAUAAACAUUGAUGUGGCUGUGUCUCUGUAGUAUGCUGUUUUUAAGUGCUUUGGGUAUAAACCGAGGAGAGGAUAGCUGGGUCAAAUGGUGGUUCCAUUCUGGAUUUUCCCAGAAAUCUCCACACUACUUUCCAUAUUUGCUGCACCAAUUUGCAGUCCCACCAACAAUUUUUGAGUGUACCUUUCCCACGACAUCCCCACCAACACUUAUUGUUGUUUGUCUUCAUAAUAGCUGCCAUUCUGUCUGGAGUGAGAUGAAAUCUUAGAGUGGUUUUGAUUUGCAUUUCUCUAAUUGCUAGUGAUGAUGAACAUUUUUUUCAUAUAUUUGUUGAUUGAUUGUAUAUCCUCUUCUGAGAAGUGUCUGUUCAGGUCCUUAGUCCAUUUCUUGAUUGGGUUAUUUGCUUUUUGGUGCUUAGCUUUUUGAGUUCUUUAUAUACCCUAGAGGUUAGUGCUCUAUCUGAUGUGUGAGGGGGUAAAGAUUUGCUCCCAAGAUGUAGGCUCUCUAUUCACCUCACAGAUUGUUUCUUUUACUGAGAAGAAACUUUUUAGUUUGAGUCCAUUCCAUUUAUAGAUUUUUGAUUUUAAUUCUUUGCCACAGGAGUCUUAUUAAGGAAGUUGGGGAUUAGGGCCUACUUUUUCUUCUAUUAGACACAGAGUCUCUGGUUAUAUUCCUAAGUUCUUGAUCCAUUUUGAGUUGAGUUUUGUUCAUGGUGAGAGAUUAGGGUUUAAUUUCAUUUUGUUGCAUAUAGAUUUCCAGUUUUCUGAACACCAUUUGUUGAAGAGGCUGUCUUUUCUCCAGUGCAUGUUCUUGGCACCUUUGUCCAAUAUAAGAUAAUUGUAGUUUUGUGGGUUAGUCUUUGUGUCCUCUAUUCUGUACCAUUGGUCUACCAGUCUGUUUUGGUGCCAAUACCAUGCUGUUUUUAAGUGCUUUGGGUAUAAACCGAGGAGAGGAUAGCUGGGUCAAAUGGUGGUUCCAUUCUGGAUUUUCCCAGAAAUCUCCACACUACUUUCCAUAUUUGCUGCACCAAUUUGCAGUCCCACCAACAAUUUUUGAGUGUACCUUUCCCACGACAUCCCCACCAACACUUAUUGUUGUUUGUCUUCAUAAUAGCUGCCAUUCUGUCUGGAGUGAGAUGAAAUCUUAGAGUGGUUUUGAUUUGCAUUUCUCUAAUUGCUAGUGAUGAUGAACAUUUUUUUCAUAUAUUUGUUGACUGAUUGUAUAUCCUCUUCUGAGAAGUGUCUGUUCAGGUCCUUAGUCCAUUUCUUGAUUGGGUUAUUUGCUUUUUGGUGCUUAGCUUUUUGAGUUCUUUAUAUACCCUAGAGGUUAGUGCUCUAUCUGAUGUGUGAGGGGGUAAAGAUUUGCUCCCAAGAUGUAGGCUCUCUAUUCACCUCACAGAUUGUUUCUUUUACUGAGAAGAAACUUUUUAGUUUGAGUCCAUUCCAUUUAUUGAUUUUUGAUUUUAAUUCUUUGCCACAGGAGUCUUAUUAAGGAAGUUGGGGAUUAGGGCCUACUUUUUCUUCUAUUAGACACAGAGUCUCUGGUUAUAUUCCUAAGUUCUUGAUCCAUUUUGAGUUGAGUUUUGUUCAUGGUGAGAGAUUAGGGUUUAAUUUCAUUUUGUUGCAUAUAGAUUUCCAGUUUUCUGAACACCAUUUGUUGAAGAGGCUGUCUUUUCUCCAAUGCAUGUUCUUGGCACCUUUGUCCAAUAUAAGAUAAUUGUAGUUUUGUGGGUUAGUCUUUG
rnacentral:lncRNA from 1 species